rnacentral:rRNA from 1 species
UCCUACGGGAGGCAGCAGUGGGGAAUUUUGCGCAAUGGGGGAAACCCUGACGCAGCAACGCCGCGUGAGUGAUGAAGGUUUUCGGAUCGUAAAGCUCUGUCGGGCGGAAAGAAAUGCAUGGAGAUCAAUACCCUCCAUGCUUGACGGUACCGCCAGAGGAAGCACCGGCUAACUCCGUGCCAGCAG